ACGUCCCGACGUGCAAAAAGCUGCCUUUCGAGGGCCACCCCCAUCAAAGCAAUCCCAGUGCUCUAGUCACUUCACGCAUUUACCGCAUCUACAUGCGCAGCUCAUCUUCUUCAACAAUCCUUCUCCCCACCCACCCACCAACCAGAGUCCCAGGAAGAACAAGAAGGCGAUCUAGCAGGGAGAACGCCAUGGCCGCGCAUAGCAGCUCACACAUCCGCCAGUUAGCAGUCAGCAUUUAGGUUUUUGCCUAUCAGCGACUUGUUCAGCACGAAGCCGCCGCCGGAAAAGGUACCUGGCGGCUAAGAGCGAAGCAGACCAUUAUGAGCUGGAGUUAAGAAGGGAGCAAGAGGAGAUCAUCGCGGUCCCUGAAAUCGAGGCUGCUGAGAUCGGAGAGAUCAUGUCGUAGUAUGGACUCGAACCCCACGAGUAUGGCCCUGUGGUGAUGGGCCUGCGUAGGAAGCCGCAAGCCUGGCUCGAGUUUAUGAUGAGGUUUGAGCUGGGACUUGAGAAGCCAUACCCUAGAAGAGCCCUGCAGAGCGCUCUUACGAUAGCGCUCUCCUACGUUGUCGGCGGGUUGGUCCCACUCAUGCCCUACAUGCUCAUUCCCACUGGUCAUGACGCAAUGCGCACAUCGGUCGUGCUCACACUUGUGGCACUCUUCUUUUUCGGCUAUGUCAAGGGCCGCUUCACUGGAAGCCGCCCCCUCUUCAGUGCCCUCCAGACUACUUUUAUCGGUGCAGUUGCUUCUGCCGCGGCAUACAGAAUCGCUAAAGUUGUGCAAGCCUGACGAUGUAUAGAAUUCUCUCUCAUCCAAAGUUUCACUAGCAUGGAGUGAAUGAAUUCACAAAUAAGCAUGAGAUAGGGAGUAUUUCAGUUAUAUUCCGUUCAUCUUUUUACCUUUUCUUU